CAGUCGCCGCGGGAAUACGUAGGUGGCAAGCGUUGUCCGGAAUUAUUGGGCGUAAAGGGCUCGCAGGCGGUCUCUUAAGUCUGAUGUGAAAGCCCCCGGCUCAACCGGGGAGGGUCAUUGGAAACUGGGAAACUUGAGUGCAGAAGAGGAGAGUGGAAUUCCACGUGUAGCGGUGAAAUGCGUAGAGAUGUGGAGGAACACCAGUGGCGAAGGCGACUCUCUGGUCUGUAACUGACGCUGAGGAGCGAAAGCGUGGGGAGCGAACAGGAUUAGAUACCCGUGUAGCCCUGUCUCUUAUACA
rnacentral:rRNA from 1 species